rnacentral:rRNA from 1 species
GAUGAACGCUGGCGGCGUGCUUAACACAUGCAAGUCGAGCGAAAAGACGUGGUGCUUGUUCCUCUGACGUUAGUGGCGCAUGGGUGCGUAACAUGUGGAUAACCUCCAUAUCUGAAUGGGACAACUUCGGGCACCCGGAGUUAAUACCGGAAAAUAUAAUGAACCGCAUGGUUCAAUAGUGACUGAUGGUUUUGCUGUUAAUUCAAGAUCGUACCGCGCCGAUUUAGCUAGUUGGUAAGGUAACGGCUUUCCAAGGCAACGAUGCGUAGCCGACCUACGAGGGUGAUCGGCCACACUGGGACUGAAACACGGUCCAGACUCCUACGGGGAGCAGCAGUAGGGAAUCUUCCGCAGUAGGCGAAAGCUUGACGGAGCAACGCCGCGUAAGUUAUGAGAGUCUUCGGGUCGUAAAGCACUGUUAUUAGGGAAGAACAAAUGUGUAAGUAGCUAUACACGUCUUGACGGUACCUGAUCAGAAAGCCACGGCUAACUACGUG